rnacentral:lncRNA from 1 species
UUGCACGAACGGCAGCUUAGAUGUGGCAUCCGAUUUUUAAGUGAUCUUAACAUUUGGAAGCCAUGCCGUUUUUGCGUCACACCCAAUCAUAUUGAUACAAAGGGUGAAAUCACCCGUUUUGUCCCCUUUUUAAUGAUCUAGUAGUCAUCAUAGAUAAAAGAGGUUUAUAAACCUCUUAUGUAUUUCAAAAGAAUAAGGUUGCUGCGUCAACCAACAUUAUUGUAAAAACAGUCUAUCUCGAGACUUUAAAAGGAGAGCUUCGUCACAAAAUAAAUCCUUUUCCUCUCUUAAUUAUAGUUCACCGUCGCAUCGCGAGUUUUUAUAUAGUUUGGUAUUUUUCCGCUGACAUACCUGAACGGAUGAUGCGAUCUUGGUACGAUCUUGAACAACAUUCGAAGGUGGAUAAAAAUAGUAUACCGGUAGGAUAAAAUGCAUCGAUGAACAAAUAAAUGAAGUUAUCUUUAAACGGUAUAGACUCGCCCAAGAAUAACAUACUUCAUGAAUUACAUUACCAUUCCAACGCCAAGCACCCGCUUGACGUGUAUUUCAGACCGAGAAGUGAUACGAUAUAUCUAUAUCCAUGCACCUAUCUUCGUCGCAGCUUUACGUACGCAAUGAUGACGCAAUGCGGAAACUGUUUCGACUGCGCAUCGAACGUUCUCACAAGAAUUGCCCGACGCGGCGACGGCACAAACAGUGCCUUCAUAGCAGAAAUAUCGACAUUUGGAUUUGAAGUAUUAUCCGGCGUAGAGAUUGCAUUUUAUAGAUUAAACAUUUCAUAUUACUGUAGAUUACAGACAAAAUACAAUUGUAAUAUAAAUUUACACGUAUAACAGCUUGAGCGUUGUAUGCAUGCAGUGAAGAGGAACUGAGCUUAAACUUCAUUGUAAGCAAUAAUAAAUCUUGCUCAUUUUCUUUUA